UACGGAGGAUGCAAGCGUUAUCCGGAUUUAUUGGGUUUAAAGGGUGCGUAGGCGGCUUAUUAAGCGUGAGGUGAAAUGCCAUGGCUUAACCAUGGAACUGCCUCGCGAACUGGUUAGCUGGAAUGCUCCUGCCGUGGGAGGAAUGUGUGGUGUAGCGGUGAAAUGCAUAGAGAUCACACAGAACACCGAUUGCGAAGGCAUCUCACGAAGGGGCUAUUGACGCUGAGGCACGAAAGCGUGGGGAUCAAAC
rnacentral:rRNA from 1 species